rnacentral:rRNA from 1 species
AUAUUAGUCAAUGCUCGAAAGAGUGAACUAGCUAACUGAAAUCAAUUAAAAUAAUUGAUAACAUAAGGGAAAAUAAUGAUAUUACCUUAUUAUUAGUGUCGUCCAAAUCUGGUGCCAGAAGACUCGGUAAGGCCAGAGACACAAACGUUAAUCGUCUUAAUCAGGCGUAAAGGGUUUGUAGGCGGCUUUAAAAUUUACUUAUACAAAAAUAAUAAGUAAAGAAUAAAAGCUAGAAUCAAAUAGAGGAUAUAUGAAAGAAUGCUUAGAGUAGGUCUGAUAUCCUUAGAUACUAAGUAGAAUAUUAAAGGCGAAAGCUUUUUUCCAUUAAUGAUUGACGCUCAGAAACGAAGGUGAGGAUAGGAAAUAGGAUUAGAUACCCAGAAUACCCCUCUCUGUCAACGAUGAAUGGUAGUUAUUAGUACAAAUUAUUAAUGGCAAUGUUAACACGAUAACCAUUCCGCCUUGUGAGUACAACUGCAAAGUUGAAAACAAAAAAAUUAGUCGGUUUCGGAGCAAACGAAGUGAAGCAUGUUAUUUAAUUC